UACGAAGGGGGCUAGCGUUGUUCGGAAUCACUGGGCGUAAAGCGCACGCAGGCGGAUCGUUAAGUCAGGGGUGAAAUCCUGAGGCUCAACCUCGGACGUGCGAUGGAUACUGCCGGGCUAGAGGAUGGUAGAGGCGAGUGGAAUUCCCGGUGUAGCGGUGAAAUGUGUAGAGAUCGGGAGGAACACCGGUGGCGAAGGCGGGUCUCUGGGCAAUUCCUGACGCUGAGGCGCGAAAGCGUGGGGAGCAAACGGG
rnacentral:rRNA from 1 species